AUUGAACGCUGGCGGAAUGCUUUACACAUGCAAGUCGGGCGGCAGCGCGGGGGCAACCCUGGCGGCGAGCGGCGAACGGGUGAGUAACACAUCGGAACGUAUCCUGUCGUGGGGGAUAACGAAUCGAAAGAUUCGCUAAUACCGCAUACGACCUGAGGGUGAAAGCGGGGGAUCGCAAGACCUCGCGCGAUUGGAGCGGCCGAUGUCGGAUUAGCUAGUUGGUGAGGUCAAGGCUCACCAAGGCGACGAUCCGUAGCGGGUCUGCGAGGACGGCACGCCACAAUGGAACUGAGACACGGUCCAGACUCAUACGGGAGGCAGAAGUGGGGAAUUUUGUACAAUGGGGUCAACCCUGAUCCAGCCAUGCCGCGUGAGUGAAGAAGGCCUUCGGGUUGUAAAGCUCUUUCGGCAGGAACGAAAAGGCUCUCUCUAACAUAGGGGGUCAAGGACGGUACCUGAAGAAGAAGCACCGGCUAACUACGUGCCAGCAGCCGCCGUAA
rnacentral:rRNA from 1 species